AUAUCAAUAAGCGGAGGAAAAGAAACUAACAAGGAUUCCCCUAGUAACGGCGAGUGAAGCGGGAAUAGCUCAAAUUGAAAUCUCAUGCCUUUGGUAUGCGAAUUGUAGUUUGUAGAAGUGUUUUCGCAGGUAGCUCUGGUCAAAGUCCUUUGGAACAGGGCAUCAGAGAGGGUGAGAAUCCCGUUUUGGGCUAGAGACCUACUUGCAUGAGAUACACUUUCCAAGAGUCAGGUUGUUUGGGAAUGCAGCCUAAAAUGGGUGGUAAAUACCAUCUAAAGCUAAAUAUUGGCGAGAGACCGAUAGCGCACAAGUA
rnacentral:rRNA from 1 species